rnacentral:tRNA from 1 species
GUUCUUCCUGUCCAAGGGGCACUGCACGCCCGCCUACUACGCGGCCAUGGCCGCCCGCGGGUUCUUCCCCCGCGAGGAGCUC